UACGACGAAAUAGAGAGCAGUUACAAAGGCCCGUGUUUUUCAAUACGAGGAAAUUGCGAGGAAUCACAAAGGCCCGUGUUUUUAUAUACGAGGUAUUAACGAUGAUUUUGCUUACGUGGAAUUAACGAGCCUUGCUUUCCUAUAAAUAUACCCACAACUCUCAUUCUCAAACCACACACAAACUCUCAAAUCACACCCUAUC
rnacentral:lncRNA from 1 species